UACGGAGGGUGCGAGCGUUGUCCGGAAUCACUGGGCGUAAAGGGCGCGUAGGCGGCGCGGAUAGUCGGCGGUGAAAGCCCGGAGCUCAACUCCGGGUCGGCCGUCGAUACUUCCGGGCUUGAGCACUGUAGAGGCAGAUGGAAUUCCGGGUGUAGCGGUGGAAUGCGUAGAGAUCCGGAAGAACACCGGUGGCGAAGGCGGUCUGCUGGGCAGUUGGCUGACGCUGAUGCGCGACAGCGUGGGGAGCAAACAGG
rnacentral:rRNA from 1 species